rnacentral:tRNA from 1 species
AGCGGGUUUUGGUCCCGUUACUCGGAGGUUCGAAUCCUUCCGUCCCAG